GGAGGAGGUGUGGUCAAGGUGAAGGACACAGAACAAGAUGGAGUCGGCCGGCGUAGGCCCGCCCUUUCAAGAAGAGCCUCGACGAACCAGGACAAAGGGAAGGGUCGCAGAAUUUCAUCAUCUACAGUUUCUGAUCCGUUGGGGCUUAAGCAGAAAUGACUUGUCCGGCAGUGACAUUUCUACAACGUAUCGUACAACACUUGGUUGCCCGGGCAUAAAAUGCUGCUACUAAUAAUCCAUGUAAUAUUUUUGAACAUCUGCCUUAGAACUGGUGCUGUCCAAUGCUUUUUUACUCACUUAUUCCUCAAAGUGGCAACGUGAAGUCAG